AUUGAACGCUGGCGGCAUGCUUUACACAUGCAAGUCGAACGGCAGCGGGGAGGAGCUUGCUUCUCUGCCGGCGAGUGGCGAACGGGUGAGUAAUACAUCGGAACGUGUCGAGAAGAGGGGGAUAACCACCCGAAAGGGUGGCUAAUACCGCAUAAAUUCUGAGGAAGAAAGCUGGGGACCUAGGAAUAGGCCUAGCGCUUUUUGAGCGGCCGAUGUCGGAUUAGCUAGUUGGUGAGGUAAAGGCUCACCAAGGCGAAGAUCUGUAGCGGGUCUGAGAGGAUGAUCCGCCACACUGGGACUGAGACACGGCCCAGACUCCUACGGGAGGCAGCAGUGGGGAAUUUUGGACAAUGGGGGCAACCCUGAUCCAGCCAUGCCGCGUGUAUGAAGAAGGCCUUAGGGUUGUAAGGUACUUUUGUUAGGGAAGAAAAGUCAGCUGUGAAUAAUGGCUGAUACUGACGGUACCUAAAGAAUAAGCACCGGCUAACUACGUG
rnacentral:rRNA from 1 species